UACAGGGGGUGCAAACGUUGCUCGGAAUACUGGGCGUAAAGCGUGCGCAGGCGGUGAUGUAAGACAGUUGUGAAAUCCCCGGGCUCAACCUGGGAACUGCAUCUGUGACUGCAUCGCUGGAGUGCGGCAGAGGGGGAUGGAAUUCCGCGUGUAGCAGUGAAAUGCGUAGAUAUGCGGAGGAACACCGAUGGCGAAGGCAAUCCCCUGGGCCUGCACUGACGCUCAUGCACGAAAGCGUGGGGAGCAAACAGG
rnacentral:rRNA from 1 species